GUAGAAAGGAUUAGACACGAUGCAUCACAUACAUGCCGUCAGUAUCCUUCUCGCUGGAAUCUUAGGCUGCGCCUAUGCCUUGGAAGAUCCAGCAGUGCCAGCAUUUCCCGAUGAGUAUAGUUUGCAGAUUGAGGCAAAUAUGCAUCAUCAAAACUAUACGAUCGAGCUAAAGGAGUACUACAGCAAGUCAUUGCAGGCAUCGAGGGUCAUUGCAAGCAAAAAUGGCUUCGUAACGAAUACAAUAUUCAGUUAUAAUACAGGAGAAAUGUUUCAGU